AAUUGGGUUGGAAGGGUCCUUAAAGAUCACCGAACCAUCAGAUGGGUUGCGGUUGGGUUGGGGAGGGUCCUUAAAGAUCACAGAACCAUCAGAUGGUUGGGGUUGGGAUGGAGUUGGGUUGGGAGGGUCCUUAAAGAUCACAGAACCAUCAGAUGGGUUGGGGUUGGGUUAGAAGGGUCUCAAUGGUCACAGAACCAUCAGAUGGGUUGGGGUUGGAUUGGAAGGGUCCUUAAAGAUCACAGAACCAUCAGAUGGGUUGGGUUUGGAUUGGAAGGGUCCUUAAAGAUCACAGAACCAUCAGAUGGGUUGGAGGUGGGUUGGAAGGGUCCUCAAUGGUCACUGGACCAUGAGAUGCGUUGGGGUUGGGUUGGGAGGGUCCUUAAAGAUCACAGAACCAUCAGAUGGGUUGGAGUUGGGUUGGAAGGGUCCUUAAAGAUCACAGAACCAUCAGAUGGGUUGGGGUUGGAUUGGAAGGGUCCUUAAAGGUCACAGAACCAUCAGAUGGGUUGGAAUUGGGUUGGAAGGGUCCUUAAAGAUCACAGAACCAUCAGAUGGGUUGGGGUUGGGGUUGGAAGGGUCCUUAAAGAUCACAGAACCAUGGAACCAUACAUAGUUGGGUUGGGAGGGUCCUUAAAGAUCACAGAACCAUCAGGUGGGUUGGGGUUGGGUUGGAAGAGUCCUCAAUGGUCCACUGGACCAUGAGAUGGGUUGGGGUUGGAUUGGAAGGGUCCUCAAUGGUCACUGGACCAUGAGAUGCGCUGGGGUUGGGUUGGGAGGGUCCUUAAAG